rnacentral:rRNA from 1 species
UACGGAGGGGGCUAGCGUUGUUCGGAAUUACUGGGCGUAAAGCGCACGUAGGCGGCUUUGUAAGUUAGAGGUGAAAGCCCAGGGCUUAACCCUGGAAUUGCCUUUAAGACUGCAUCGCUAGAAUCGUGGAGAGGUGAGUGGAAUUCCGAGUGUAGAGGUGAAAUUCGUAGAUAUUCGGAAGAACACCAGUGGCGAAGGCGACUACCUGGUCUGGCAUUGACGCUCAUGUGCGAAAGCGUGGGGAGCAAACAGG